UCUAAUACCGGAUACUGACCGGCCUGGGCAUCCAGGCGGGUCGAAAGCUCCGGCGGUGAAGGAUGAGCCCGCGGCCUAUCAGCUUGUUGGUGAGGUAACGGCUCACCAAGGCGACGACGGG
rnacentral:rRNA from 2 species